AUUGAACGCUGGCGGCAUGCCUUACACAUGCAAGUCGAACGGCAGCACGGGUGCUUGCCCCUGGUGGCGAGUGGCGAACGGGUGAGUAAUACAUCGGAACAUGUCCUGUAGUGGGGGAUAGCCAGGCGAAAGCCGGAUUAAUACCGCAUACGAACUACGGAUGAAAGCGGGGGCCCUUCGGGCCUCGCGCUAUAGGGUCGGCCGAUGGCGGAUUAGCUAGUUGGUGGGGUAAAGGCCUACCAAGGCGACGAUCAGUAGCUGGUCUGAGAGGACGACCAGCCACACUGGGACUGAGACACGGCCCAGACUCCUACGGGAGGCAGCAGUGGGGAAUUUUGGACAAUGGGCGAAAGCCUGAUCCAGCAAUGCCGCGUGUGUGAAGAAGGCCUUCGGGUUGUAAAGCACUUUUGUCCGGAAAGAAAUACUUGGCCCUAAUACGGUCGGGGGAUGACGGUACCGGAAGAAUAAGCACCGGCUAACUACGUG
rnacentral:rRNA from 1 species